rnacentral:rRNA from 1 species
UACGUAGGGGGGCUAGCGUUGUCCGGAAUCAUUGGGCGUAAAGCGCGUGUAGGCGGUCCGGUAAGUCCGCUGUGAAAGUCGGGGGCUCAACCCUCGGAUGCCGGUGGAUACUGUCGGGCUUGGAGUACGGAAGAGGCGAGUGGAAUUCCUGGUGUAGGCGGUGAAAUGCGCAGAGUAUCAGGAGGAACACCAAUUGCGAAGG